rnacentral:lncRNA from 1 species
AUGAUGAUGAUUAUGAUGAUUAUGAUGAUGAGGAUUAUGAGUAGUUUUAGCUUAGUUGUUUAUUUUUUUAUUUUUUUUAUGCUUUGGUCUUUUUUUCCUAUUGUAUUUUAAUUCCCCAUUUUAAUUAAUGAAGUAUUUUGAGUUUUUUAAUGAUUGUACCCGUUUUAUCUUGAUAUUUAUGUCCUUGAAUAUCUACCUUAUUUGUUUAUUGUUUUCCCGCCUUAAAUAAGGUGAAGUAUACUCUCUGAGGGAGCAUGGUAUAUUCUCC